rnacentral:misc_RNA from 1 species
UCCUCGUUUAAGCGAGGCAGUCUGUCCAGAGUGCUCCUGACUCACGCCAGGGUGGCAACAGGACAUAAGGGUUGCGCUCGUUGCGGGACUUAACCCAACAUCUCACGACACGAGCUGACGACAGCCAUGCAGCACCUGUGUAAGCUGGUAUUGCUACCUCGUUCCGCUUUCACGGUCCUACUACCUACAUGUCAAGGCCAGGUAAGGUUCUUCGCGUUGCAUCGAAUUAAGCCACAUACUCCACCGCUUGUGCAGGCCCCCGUCAAUUUCUUUGAGUUUUAAUCUUGCGACCGUACUCCCCAGGCGGCACAUUUAACGCGUUAGCUUCGCCACAGACGGGGUCGAUUCCGCCUACAGCAAAUGUGCACCGUUUACAGCUAGGACUAC